GAUGAACGCUAGCUACAGGCUUAACACAUGCAAGUCGAGGGGAAACGCCAUCGAAAGCUUGCUUUUGAUGGGCGUCGACCGGCGCACGGGUGAGUAACGCGUAUCCCACCUUCCCACCACUUGGGGAUAACCUUGCGAAAGUAAGACUAAUACCCAAUGACGUCUCUAGAAGACAUCUGAACUAGAUUACAGAUUUAUCGGUGAUGGAUGGGGAUGCGUCUGAUUAGCUUGUUGGCGGGGUAACGGCCCACCAAGGCGACGAUCAGGAGGGGUUCUGAGAGGAAGGACCCCGACAUUGGAACUGAGACACGGUCCAAACGCCUACGGGAGGCAGGAGUGAGGAAUAAUGGUGAAUGGACGAGAGUCUGAAACAGCCAAGGAGCGUGCAGGAUGACGGCCCUAUGGGUUGUAAAUUGCGUGUAUAAGGGAAUAAAGGGAGUCUCGUGAGAGUUUUGGCAUGUACCUGAGGAAGAAGGACCGGCUAAUUCCGU
rnacentral:rRNA from 1 species